UAAGGGAUUCACUUGCUGAAGUAAAUUCGAAUAUUGUUCUUAAGGUAAUUUUUUUUGUUUUAUCACUAAGUCAACCUCAUAAUGUGGAAGAAAUUUUUAAUUGCGACUCCCUGUGUGCGUCUAGCUGUGUGGAGACUUCUCUUGGUACGGUCAUUCCUUUUUUUUGCAUUAUUGAAUCAUUGUGAAGUUUUAGUAAUUUAGUUAAUUUGACCGCAACUAUUUGAUGGGAAAGAGAGAUCUUAUAUAUGCAUUUUAAAGGUAUAUCAGAUGACAUUUAAUAAAGGUAUACAUAAUUGAAAUCACUGAGUUGAUUAGUCAUCUAUUUUUUAUAAUGUUAGUAAUUAUAUGAUGCUACCAACAUUGGACAAACAAAGCUACAGUGGUUAUGGGAACGAGUGGUGCUGGAAAAUCAAUAAUUGUAGUUCUUUGGAAUGAUUUGGUGCUGGUGUUGCUUCACUUCUACAAAAAGCACGCAUUUGUUAACGGGAGAGAUCAUUGGGAGAAUGUCUAGUGAUACGAUCCACAUUCAAGAUGUCAUGGGCAAAAAAGUAAGCUCUUAAGCUGCUACUUUUUAUGUAAGCACGAUAAUCAUUGUAAAAGCUUGGUAAAGAUUCCUAAACAUAAGUUGAUCAUCUCAGGUGGAACAAUUCAUUCAAUUUUCUUCGACAUUCUUAGAAGGCUUUAUUAUUGCUUUCUGUAGAGGAUGGCUCCUAGCGAUUGUGUUGUGUACGUGCAUUAUUCUUGCACUUGGUAUAGCAGGUGCAUUUUCGGCUGUACUCAUGGGGAAGAUGGCAACCCUUGGACAUGAUGUUAUUAUAGCUAU